rnacentral:rRNA from 1 species
AAUUACCGUUAACCGAACGAGACCUUAACCUGCUAAAUAGCUAGGCCUAACAUUGUUAGGUCGUCAGCUUCUUAGAGGGACUAUCGGUGUUUAACCGAUGGAAGUUUGAGGCAAUAACAGGUCUGUGAUGCCCUUACGAUGUUCUGGGCCGCACGCGCGCUACACUGAUGAAGUCAACGAGUUCAUUUCCUUUAUCGGGAGAUAUGGGUAAUCUUAUGAAACUUCAUCGUGCUGGGGAUAGAGCAUUGCAAUC